UACGUAGGGGGCAAGCGUUGUCCGGAGUUACUGGGCGUAAAGGGCACGCAGGCGGUUCGGUCAGUUUGCGGGGACAGUGGGUGGCUUAACUACCCAAGGGUCGCAAAGACGGCCGGACUCAGAGAGCGAGAGAGGGACCUGGAACUCCGGGUGGAGCGGUGAAAUGCGUAGAGAUCCGGAAGAACACCACUGGCGUAGGCAAGGUCCUGGCUCGUAUCUGACGCUGAGGUGCGAAAGCUAGGGGAGCGAACGGG
rnacentral:rRNA from 1 species